rnacentral:lncRNA from 1 species
AACUGUUCAGAAAGGUAAAGAUGGGGAAAAUUUUAAAUUAGCCCACGCGAAACAUAAGCGCAAUGCAAAAAAAGAAGAAGAAAAAACAAUGUCAACUGGAGAGAUUACUUGGCCUGGUUGACCAUCUCUCUUAGCACUUGAUUCCCCGCCUUUUCCUGAUCCCUUGUUGUCACCCUAUCAAAAUGGCAGAAACAAUCCUAAUGAGACACAAUCAUACAACAAUAUGCCCCAGCCACAGAUAUAACCGGACCCUCGGAUUAUGAAAAAUAAAAGAAGAUUAUUAAAAAUAUUCAGAGCAUCAGAAAGGGCGUAGAGAAAUACUUGGGAUUGAUCGAGCGGUAAGUGAUAAAAUGAGAACCACUGACCUCCAUCUGCAAGAGUCCAAUCCAUAUAGCAUAGAAAGAAAGAAAGAAAAACAUAGAGUUAGUGAGUUAUCGUUGGUUCAACAUAACUAGGAAACUGAAUAAGCUGAAGUGGAACAUACCUCUCUGUAUCUCGUCAGGUAAAACUUGAGAGGUUCAACGUACUCUUCAAAUCCUAAAGUGGUCAUAGCCCAAAGCAAAUCAUCUCCGUUGAUAGUCUUCCUCUUCUCUCUUUGGCACUUAUCACUCGCUCUGCUCGUCAAAAUAUACACAACCUCAUGACAUAGUGAACUCAUAAGAACGAAAGGAACAAAAUUUAAGGAAUAUAAAACAGCAUAUUCCAUCAAUCUCC